rnacentral:lncRNA from 1 species
CAGCAAGACCCUCCGAUGCUCAAGUCAGUACUCUGCUUCAACAGAAAUGGAGUGCUCGAGCGAAAAUUUAGGCAGAGUUUCAAGAUAGAGUUUUGAACUUAGAGAAGAACAUAUCUGGGGAUCCUUAUUUAUAGAUGGAGGGCGCAACUGAUCGACAGCGAUGUCUGUAACCGUCUGGUAGUGGACCGUUCAGGACCGCGUGGAGUUUGUUACGGAGAGUAGUGGUGUCAGGGGUCGUUCAGGGCCACGUGGAGCUUGUUGCGGGGG